rnacentral:rRNA from 1 species
UACGUAGGGGGCAAGCGUUGUCCGGAUUUACUGGGUGUAAAGGGUGCUCAGGUGGUCUUGCAAGUCAGAGGUGAAAGCCCAGGGCUUAACUCUGGAACUGCCUUUGAUACUGCAAGGCUUGAGUACGGAAGAGGUUGAUGGAAUUUCUGGUGUAGCAGUGAAAUGCGUAGAUAUCAGAAAGAACACCAGUGGCGAAGGCGGUCAACUGGUCCGUUACUGACACUAAAGCACGAAAGCGUGGGGAGCAAACAGG